GUCACUAGUUGCCAUCAUUUAGUUGGGCACUCUAGUGAGACUGCCGGUGACAAACCGGAGGAAGGUGGGGAUGACGUCAAGUCCUCAUGGCCCUUAUGGGUAGGGCUUCACACGUCAUACAAUGGUCGGUACAGAGGUGCCAAGCCGCGAGGUGGAGCCAAUCCCUUAAAGCCGAUCGUAGUCCGGAUCGUAGUCUGCAACUCGACUACGUGAAGUCGGAAUCGCUAGUAAUCGCAGAUCAGCAUGCUGCGGUGAAUACGUUCCCGGGUCUU
rnacentral:rRNA from 1 species